AUUGAACGCUGGCGGCAUGCUUUACACAUGCAAGUCGAACGGAAACACGCCUUCCGUUGCUGACGGAUGGCAGCCGGGUGCGUAAGGGAACGGAACGUACCCCGAGGCGGGGAGUAACGCAUCGCAAGCUGUAAUCAUAGCUCAUAUCAGCUAAGAAUGUGAACGGGGUGGCUCAACACAAUAUUUCGCCUUUCCCGUUUCUUACGGACGAUGCCGGAUUAGCUAGUUGGUUGGGUAAAGGCCUACCAAGGCAACGAUACGUAGCUGGCCUGAGAGGACGGCCAGCCACACUGGAACUGAGACACGGCCCAGACUCCUACGGGAGGCAGCAGUAGGGAAUCUUGGACAAUGGGCGCAAGCCUGACCCAGCAAUGCCGCGUGCGUGAAGAAGGCCUUCGGGUCGUAAAACGCUUUUGGCAGGAAAGAAACGGUGUCUGCUAAUACCGGGCGCUAAUGACGGUACCUGAAGAAAAAGCACCGGCUAACUACGUG
rnacentral:rRNA from 1 species